rnacentral:misc_RNA from 1 species
UCCGGUUUAACACCGGCAGUCUCCUUAGAGUUCCCGGCAUGACCCGAUGGCAACUAAGGACAGGGGUUUCGCUCGUUAAGGGACUUAACCCGACAUCUCACGACACGAGCUGACGACAGCCAUGCAACACCUACGUACGUUCCACCGGUUAAGGAGUCACUCUACUUUCAUAGAGCUAAUCCGUACGCUUCGAGCCCGGGUAAGGUUCUUCGCGUUGCAUCGAAUUAAGCAACAUGCUCCACCGCUUGUGUGAGCCCCCGUCAAUUCCUUUGAGUUUCGACCUUGCGGUCGUACUCCCCAGGCGGAGUGCUUAAUGUGUUAACGUCAGCACUGAGGGUGGAACCCCCCAACACCUAGCACUCAUCGUUUACGGCGUGGACUAC